GAUCGGACGGUUUAAAAAUGUACCACGUCGUGUUCUUCAUGUUCUUCACCGGCCGUGGGUGGAAAGAUGUGGAUGAAUUGAGAAGCAGCUUGAAUGCAUCGCUAAAAGAUGCCAGGUGGGGUUUGUGAUGUUAAUUCCUACCCCCGUUUCUGGGCAGGUAAAUUUUAGCAGACAUAAGGGGCAAAGCUUAUUACCUUCCAUAUUCAUAAGUUUUUCUAUCUGGAAUAAACCAGGAAAUAGUGGAAAAUGUGCAAGAAAUCUCUCCAGAUGUGUUUCUAGAGCAAAGAGGUUGGAACCAAGAGAUCUUGAACCACUGACUAACCUCGGAUAAGUUCUGAGGUUAACCCACCCAUCCAGUGAAGAUGCAGGCCUUCGGACUGCGGGCCUUCUCUCCUAGGGGUCUUUUCCCACCCCCACACUCAGGAGCGUGUACAGAUGUUCCCUCUUCCUCCAAGAAAGUGUACCUGAAAUAUGCCAUACGUGUGCCCAGGAGCCACAGCCACAAGCAGGGACAUCUCAACCUCAGGACCUCUGCAUGGCAUCAUCAAGGAGCCAGAGACCCAGAAAGCCUGGAUGCCAAAGGUCACAUGGAGGUAAACAGGAAGCAUAGAACCCCAGGUGCUGUCAGGAGCUACCUGACAACCACAUGGGAAAUCAUUCCGAAGGUGAAGCUGCCACAGAGAGCAAGAGACACAGCCCUGGUGACUUUAUCAACCUCUGGAACAAACUAG
rnacentral:lncRNA from 1 species